GCUACGGGAGGCAGCAGUGAGGAAUAUUGGUCAAUGGACGGAAGUCUGAACCAGCCAUGCCGCGUGCAGGAAGACGGCUCUAUGAGUUGUAAACUGCUUUUGUACAAGGGUAAACCUGAAUACGUGUAUUCAGCUGACCGUACUUUACGAAUAAGGAUCGGCUAACUCCGUGCCAGCAGCCGCGGUAAUCCGGAGGAUCCAAGCGUUAUCCGGAUUUAUUGGGUUUAAAGGGUGCGUAGGCGGAUUGAUAAGUUAGAGGUGAAAUGUCCGAGCUUAACUCGGGAACUGCCUCUAAUACUGUUGAGCUAGAGAGUAGAUGCGGUAGGCGGAAUGUAUGGUGUAGCGGUGAAAUGCUUAGAGAUCAUACAGAACACCGAUUGCGAAGGCAGCUUACCAAUCUAUAUCUGACGUUGAGGCACGAAAGCGUGGGGAGCAAACAGGAUUAGAUACCCGGGUAGUC
rnacentral:rRNA from 1 species